GAACGACGUCGGCGGCGGUGCCGUAACAACAUGCAAGUACGAACGGAACGUUACAAGACGGAAGUUUCGAAUGGAAGCUUAUAAGUUAGUGGCGGACGGGUGAGUAACGCGUGAGCAAUCUACCUCUCAGCGGAGGAUAACGCAUCGAAAGGUGUGCUAAUACCGCAUAAUAUAACGGGAUCGCAUGGUUCUGUUAUCAAAGAUUUAUUGCUGAGAGAUGAGCUCGCGUCUGAUUAGAUAGUUGGUGAGGUAACGGCCCACCAAGUCGACGAUCAGUAGCCGGACUGAGAGGUUGAACGGCCACAUUGGGACUGAGACACGGCCCAGACUCCUACGGGAGGCAGCAGUGGGGGAAUAUUGCACAAUGGGGGGAAAAACCCCCUGAUGCAGCAACGCCGCGUGAAGGAUGAAGGUUUUCGGAUUGUAAACUUCUUUUGUACGGGACGAAACAAAUGACGGUACCGUAAGAAUAAGCCACGGCUAACUACGUGCCAGCCGCCGC
rnacentral:rRNA from 1 species